rnacentral:rRNA from 1 species
CCUACGGGAGGCAGCAGUGGGGAAUAUUGCACAAUGGGGGAAACCCUGAUGCAGCGACGCCGCGUGAGUGAAGAAGUAACUCGUUAUGUAAAGCUCUAUCUGCAGGGAAGAAAAUGACGGUACCUGAGUAAGAAGCCCCGGCUAACUAAGUGCCAGCAGCCGCGGUAAUUGGUAGGGGGCAAGCGGUAUCCGGCUUUAAUGGGGGUAAAGGGGGCGUAGACGGCAGUGCAAGUCUGGAGUGAAAGGCGGGGGCCCAACCCCCGGAGUGCUGUGGAAACUGUACGGCUGGAGUGCAGGAGAGGUAAGUGGAAUUCCUGGUGUAGCGGUGAAAUGCGUAGAUAUUAGGAGGAACACCAGUUGCGAAGGCGGCUUACUGGACUGUAACUGACGUUGAGGCUCGAAAGCGUGGGGAGCAAACAGGAUUAGAUACCCCAGUAGUC